UGGGGAAUCUUCCGCAAUGGACGAAAGUCUGACGGAGCAACGCCGCGUGUAUGAUGAAGGUCUUCGGAUUGUAAAGUACUGUCAUUGGGGAAGAACGGUUUUCUUGAAAAGAUUGAGAAGGCAUGACGGUACCCAAGGAGGAAGCCCCGGCUAACUACGUGCCAGCAGCCGCGGUAAUACGUAGGGGGCAAGCGUUGUCCGGAAUUAUUGGGCGUAAAGGGCGCGUAGGCGGGCCUUUAAGUCCGGUGUGAAAGAUCAGGGCUCAACCCUGAGAGUGCAUCGGAAACUGGAGGCCUUGAGGACAGGAGAGGAAAGUGGAAUUCCACGUGUAGCGGUGAAAUGCGUAGAUAUGUGGAGGAACACCAGUGGCGAAGGCGACUUUCUGGACUGUAACUGACGCUGAGGCGCGAAAGCGUGGGGAGCAAACAGGAUUAGAUACCCUGGUAGUCCACGCCCGUAAACGAUGAGUGCUAGGUGUAGAGGGUAUCGACCCCCUUCUGUGCCGCAGUUAACACAAUAAGCACUCCCGCCUGGGGAGUACGGCCGCAA
rnacentral:rRNA from 1 species